rnacentral:rRNA from 1 species
GGGGGUAUUGCCAUGGGCGCAGCCUGAUGCAGCAACGCCGCGUGAGGGACGACGGCCUUCGGGUUGUAAACCUCUUUUAGCAGGGAAGAAGCCUUCGGGUGACGGUACCUGCAGAAAAAGCACCGGCUAACUACGUGCCAGCAGCCGCGGUAAUACGUAGGGUGCAAGCGUUAUCCGGAAUUAUUGGGCGUAAAGAGCUCGUAGGCGGUCUGUCGCGUCUGCUGUGAAAACCCGAGGCUCAACCUCGGGCCUGCAGUGGGUACGGGCAGACUAGAGUGCGGUAGGGGAGAUUGGAAUUCCUGGUGUAGCGGUGGAAUGCGCAGAUAUCAGGAGGAACACCGAUGGCGAAGGCAGAUCUCUGGGCCGUAACUGACGCUGAGGAGCGAAAGGGUGGGGAGCAAACAGGCUUAGAUACCCUGGUAGUCCACCCCGUAAACGUUGGGAACUAGUUGUGGGGUCCAUUCCACGGAUUCCGUGACGCAGCUAACGCAUUAAGUUCCCCGCCUGGGGAGUACGGCCGCAAGGCUAAAACUCAAAGGAAUUGACGGGGACCCGCACAAGCGGCGGAGCAUGCGGAUUAAUUCGAUGCAACGCGAAGAACCUUACCAAGGCUUGACAUAUACGAGAACGGGCCAGAAAUGGUCAACUCUUUGGACACUCGUAAACAGGUGGUGCAUGGUUGUCGUCAGCUCGUGUCGUGAGAUGUUGGGUUAAGUCCCGCAACGAGCGCAACCCUCGUUCUAUGUUGCCAGCACGUAAUGGUGGGAACUCAUGGGAUACUGCCGGGGUCAACUCGGAGGAAGGUGG